rnacentral:rRNA from 1 species
CGUUGUCCGGAUUAUUGGGCGUAAAGAGCUUGUAGGCGGUUUGUCGCGUCUGCUGUGAAAGGCCGGAGCUUAACUCCGUGUAUUGCAGUGGGUACGGGCAGACUAGAGUGCAGUAGGGGGGACUGGAAUUCCUGGUGUAGCGGUGGAAUGCGCAGAUAUCAGAAGGAACACCGAUGGCGAAGGCAGGUCUCUGGGCUGUAACUGACGCUGAGAAGCGAAAGCAUGGGGAGCGAACAGGAUUAGAUACCCUGGUAGUCCAUGCCGUAAACGUUGGGCACUAGGUGUGGGGGACAUUCCACGUUUUCCGCGCCGUAGCUAACGCAUUAAGUGCCCCGCCUGGGGAGUACGGCCGCAAGGCUAAAACUCAAAGAAAUUGACGGGGGCCCGCACAAGCGGCGGAGCAUGCGGAUUAAUUCGAUGCAACGCGAAGAACCUUACCAAGGCUUGACAUAUACUGGACCGCAUCAGAGAUGGUGUUUCCCUUCGGGGCUGGUAUACAGGUGGUGCAUGGUUGUCGUCAGCUCGUGUCGUGA